AGAAACUGUGUCAUGCUUCGUGGGACGGAGGGAGUAAUAUAUUUCGCACAGGGCCGGAGAUCACGUAGAAACCUUUAGGGGUGUAAUAUUGGGAGUGGCUUCAAUUAAUACAUUUACGGGGCGUUUAAUGUACUCCCUUCGUCCCGCAAAGCUCGAACAAUAUUUCUUUUUGGGUUGUCUUGCAAAGCUUGACCACUUUUUUUAUAUGGUAAUUUUUUUUUCUUUUAUUCAUAUUUUUUACAUUUUCAUCUAUCACACGUGACACACAAAAUACUAAAUUUGUAAAACCCAUGCCGAAAAUAAAUUGCUCAAGUUUCGUGGGAACGGUUGA
rnacentral:lncRNA from 1 species